rnacentral:rRNA from 1 species
AUUGAACGCUGGCGGCAGGCCUAACACAUGCAAGUCGAACGAGUGGCGGACGGGUGAGUAAUGUCUGGGAAACUGCCUGAUGGAGGGGGAUAACUACUGGAAACGGUAGCUACUACCGCAUACCAUCAGAUGUGCUCAGAUGGGAUUAGCUUGUUGGUGGGGUAACGGCUCACCAAGGCGACGAUCCCUAGCUGGUCUGAGAGGAUGACCAGCAACACGUGAAAGGAGACACGGUCCAGACUCCGACGUGAGGCAGCAGUGGGGAAGAUUGCAAAAUGGGCGCAAGCCUGAUGCAGCCAUGCCGCGUGUAGGAAGAAGGCCUUCGGGUUGUAAAGUACUUUCAGCGGGGAGGCGUUACCCGCAGAAGAAGCACCGGUUAACUCCGUGCCAGCAGCCGCGGUAAUAC